rnacentral:rRNA from 1 species
CCUACGGGGGGCAGCAGCUGAGGAAAUUUUACAAUGCGCGCAAGCGUGAUAAAAUAAGCCAGAGUGUUGUUCUUAGAACAACUUUUGUUUGCUGUAAAAAGGCAGACGAAUAAGGACUGGGCAAGACCGGUGCCAGCCGCCGCGGUAAUCCCGGCGGUCCAAGUCGCAUCCACAAUUAUUGGGUCUAAAAUAUUCGUAGCUUGCUCUGUAAGUCUCUUGUGAAAUCUCAUGUCUUAAACAUGAGGCGUGCAAGAGAUACUGCAUUGCUAGAGACCGGAAGACGUAAGGAGUAUGAUUGAGGUAGUGGUAAAAUACGUUAAUCUUGAUCAGACUAACAAUGGCGAAGGCACCUUACGAGUACGGAUCUGACGGUGAGGGAUGAAGGCUAGGGGCGCGAAAGGGAUUAGAUACCCCAGUAGUC